ensembl:lncRNA
GGAAAAACUACGUAAACUGCCGAAAUCGCAAUCGCACGAAAUUGUUUUGCGCGCUCUUUCGCAGUGAUGUCUGUCGGUAAACGAGACCUUGUAGGUGUUCUCGUAUUCGACGCACUUGACUCGAAGAGGGCUUUGACUGAACGCGUGUUGUGACGACGUCACGUGUCGAAAUCUGCGGAAAAUCUGCGGUAAUUUUGAAAAAAAAAAGGAGGGGGGGCUUGCUCGAUUCCUGGAGGUACUGGUUGAUGCUGCGAGCAGCCAUGUUGAUAUGAGUUAUGAUAUAGCUACGAGGUACAUUCAGUAUGUUGUUCUGUGCAAAUACGUAUGCAUAAGCAACAACUAUAAGCAAAUGCAAAUACCGUCAUCAUCACCCACUCCACUUUUCCUGCCUGCUACAGGUUUAUAUGGGAUUUAGAUAGUAGAAAACGUCUCUGAGAGUGUUCUGAAUUUAGGAAUGCUGCCGCUGCUGUGAUCAAAAUGAUCAAAAUGAAUAGUAAUGCGUUUUUUUUUUUCUUCAAUAAAAAAGCGGGUGAUUAAUAAAUUUGCUUUUCUGUGAAAUUGCCACGCACGAUGGCGUUUAUAACCCUGGGAGAGCGAUUCUCUCUGACAGCCGUCACGGAACACAGCAACCGCUAAUCAUUUUCAAACCAUUGGUUAAUUCGCAAACCGUUUAUUAAUUCACCUGUUUAGUCACCUUUGAUCAACUGCGCUGAAAUGAAGUGCAUUCUGGGAACUCGUAACCAUUCAUGUGACUCCUCAUGUUUUUAUUUAUUUAGGUUAUUUUCUUUUUGGUCUUUUAUUUUAUCUGAUGCCAAUUUCUAUUAUUUGUUCUUUUUUUUUUAAAUUAGUUUGGGUGCAGUAGCACACUACUCAACUAUUUUCACUAUGGAUUUUAUUAAUCCGCGAGUAGUUCUUUUAAGUAGUGAACUAGCGUUAACGUGAACAUGCUGACACAAAAUAAGCAAUCGCACACUGUAUUAGCUUUAAAGUAAACAGAGUAACCUAGAAAUUAGCAAUGUAGAUAUAAAUAUCAAUAGAUUUAAAUAAGCAAGCAGGCUGAACAAGAAGUAGCAUUAUAACAAACAGUCUAGAACUUAAACUAGCGUUGUUGUAGUAAACAGACUAGAACUUAAACUAGCGUUGUUGUAGUAAACAGACUAGAACUGAAACUAGCAUUGUUGCAGUAAACAUUCUAGAACUGAAACUAGCAUUGCAGCAGUAAACAGACUAGAACUGAAACUAGCGUUGUUGUAGUAAACAGUCUAGAACUUAAACUAGCGUUGUUGUAGUAAACAGACUAGAACUGAAACUAGCGUUGUUGCAGUAAACAGUCUAGAACUGAAACUAGCGUUGUUGUAGUAAACAGACUAGAACUGAAACUAGAAUUGCAGCAGUAAACAGUCUAGAACUGAAACUAGCGUUGUUGUAUAAACAGUCUAGAACUUAAACUAGCGUUGUUGCAGUAAACAGACUAGAACUGAAACUAGCAUUGCAGCAGUAAACAGACUAGAACUGAAACUAGCAUUGUUGCAGUAAACAGACUAGAACUGAAACUAGCAUUGUUGCAGUAAACAUUCUAGAACUGAAACUAGCAUUGCAGCAGUAAACAGACUAGAACUGAAACUAGCGUUGUUGUAGUAAACAGACUAGAACUUAAACUGGCGUUGUUGUAGUAAACAGACUAGAACUUAAACUAGCGUUGUUGCAGUAAACAGACUAGAACUUAAACUAGCGUUGUAGUAAACAGUCUAGAACUUAAACUAGUGUUGUUGUAGUAAACAGACUAGAACUGAAACUAGCG